rnacentral:rRNA from 1 species
CUAGUAAUAAACUAGCUCGUGUUCCAGCAGUCGAGACUGAGAGGUCGAUCGACCACAUUGGGUAUGAAAAAAGCCCAAGGCGAACAGCACAGCAGUGAGGAAUAUUGGUCAAUGGUCUAACGACUGAACCAGCAAUUUGGAAGAACGUAUAAUAAAUAAAUUAUUUAAAGUUCUAGAUAAAAUAUUUAUAAUGACUAUUUUUUAUCUAUAAGUCUUGGCCAAAUUACGUGCCAGCAGUCGCGGUAAUACGUAAAAGACGAGUGUUAUUCAUCUUUAAUCGGUUUAAAGGGUACCUAGACGGAAAAUCAAGCUUAAUUAAACUAAGGACUAGUUUUCUAGAGUUUGACAUGAGAAGGUACGAACUAUCAGAGGAGAGAUAAAAUUUGUUGAUACUGGUGGGACGGACAACGGCGAAGGCAAUCUUCUACUAAAAACUGACGUUGAGGGACGAAGCCUUGGGGAGCGAGAAGGAUUAGAUACCCUAGUAGUCCUUGGAGAAAAUUAUGAGUGCCAUAGACUAAAGUGAAAAAGAAGUUCUUUUAAAAGAACUUUGUAUCUGAGCCUUAAUUGGAUACAAAGGUCUCGAGUAGCAGUUUAUAAAUGAAAGUGUAAGCAUUCCACCUCAUGACUAAAGCGGCAACGCCCAAAUUGAAAUCAUUAGACCGUUUCUGAAACCAGUAGUGAAGUAUGUUAUUUAAUUCGAUAACCCGCGAAUAACCUUACCACGUUUUGAAUUUAUUAAACAAGUGUUGCACGGCUGUCUUCAG